rnacentral:rRNA from 1 species
CCUACGGGAGGCAGCAGUGAGGAAUAUUGGUCAAUGGGCGUAAGCCUGAACCAGCCAAGUCGCGUGAGGGAUGAAGGUUCUAUGGAUCGUAAACCUCUUUUAUAAGGGAAUAAAGUGUGGGACGUGUCCUGUUUUGUAUGUACCUUAUGAAUAAGGAUCGGCUAACUCCGUGCCAGCAGCCGCGGUAAUACGGAGGAUCCGAGCGUUAUCCGGAUUUAUUGGGUUUAAAGGGUGCGUAGGCGGCCUUUUACGUCAGCGGUGAAAGUCUGUGGCUCAACCAUAGAAUUGCCGUUGAAACUGGGAGGCUUGAGUAUGUUUGAGGCAGGCGGAAUGCGUGGUGUAGCGGUGAAAUGCUUAGAUAUCACGCAGAACCCCGAGUGCGAGGGCAGCCUGCCAAGCCAUGACUGACGCUGAUGCACGAAAGCGUGGGGAUCAAACAGGAUUAGAUACCCCUGUAGUC